GUUGCUCCUUGAAUGUCAUACUUGUUGGAUUGUGUGCAUUCCCCUGUGAUUCCUUGGAUUAAAGACUGUAAACUGUAAAAGUGUUUCCUGUAAAAUCUACUGCGUCUCCUCAUUCCUCACGUCGCAUUCAUCAUCAUCCUCAUGUGUACAGGCCAAGGGAAUCCCAAUACAGCUAAUCUCUUUGAAACUAACCAGGGAACACUGUAUGUCAACACUUCUCUCUCUCUCUCUCUCUCUCUGCCGCACACAAGCAUGAGUUGAGAGGAAGGACUGGCAGCAGCCAACCAGAAAACCAGAGGAACUCUGAAUCUUCUAAAUGGUGAGGGCUCCUGUUCCCGAGUAUUCCUGUUCACACGUAUAUCCCGCGGAGGACUCCAGAUCCCCAGUUAAGCCCAGUGAGGGCUGCAGUCCCCUGUCAUGGUCUACAGAGUGCCUUUGAACCCGUAAGCGUCCCCAAGUAUUAUUAGGGGUAUGGGGGUGGUUGUUGGAGGCUGCUCCUCCAUGGCGCCCAGAGCUGUCGGAUCCACCAUGAGUCCUGGAACGGUAGCCGUCCAGGCACAUCACCCCCCACCCCCCCUCACCAUUGGAUGUAGUACGGCACUGGAUGCACCUUCCGGGAGUGAAGAGUUAUGUCAGACUCUGGUCCGUGUUUUUUCUGUGUUUUGCUUCUCAUGUGCUUUCUUUUGUUCUUUGUUACCUUAUUUGGUUCUUUUGUUCCUUCCUUAUAUGUUCCUUUUCUCGUUUAGUUUGACUAUGAUUCCUGUCACCUGUGUUUACUAAUUAUUAUUAUUUUACAUAAGUCUUUGCUUUUGCGUUCUAUAGCUGUCUACUCGUUUCGUGGAUGUGUUUCCUAUUCUCUCCAGUGUUGAUGUACCCUGUGUCUCAUGGAUUGAAUACUGUUUGUAUAUUCCUCGUCUCCUCGGUUCUCAGUUUCUUAUUCUUUUUUAAUUAAGCUGAGUUCUUCUUUGGAGUCGUUUUCCAAUUUUUCUACUUACAAUAUUAAAAAAAUCAAAUGACCAAAA